rnacentral:rRNA from 1 species
UACGUAGGCAGCGAGCGUUGUUCGGAGUUACUGGGCGUAAAGAGUGCGUAGGCGGUUUUCUAAGUUUGGUGUGAAAUCUCCCGGCUCAACCGGGAGGGUGCGCCGGAAACUGGGUCGCUCGAGUACUGGAGAGGCAAGCGGAAUUCCUGGUGUAGCGGUGAAAUGCGUAGAUAUCAGGAGGAACACCCGUGGUGUAGACGGCUUGCUGGACAGUCACUGACGCUGAGGUGCGACAGCGUGGGGAGCAAACAGG